UGGUUCCGCGCCGACAAUGUAGCGGGGCUCAAGCACACCACCGAAGACGCGGCAGCAAUCUUCAUGGUUGCUGGGUAGGAGAGCGUCCUGCGAGGGGCGAAGCGGCCGGGUAACCGUGCCGUGGACUUCGUGGGAGUGAGAAUGCAGACAUGAGUAGCGAGAGACGGGUGAGGAUCCCGUCCGCUGGAUGACCAAGGGUUCCGGGGCCACGUUCGUCGUCCCCGGGUGAGUCGGGUCCUAAGGCGAGGCCGACAGGCGUAGUCGAAUGGAUGAACGGGUGGAUAUUCCCGUACCGACCAUGGACCGGCAAAACCGAGACGGUGAGUACUAACCUCCGCCUCGUGGUGGUUCCUUCCUUCGGGUUGGUGUCGCCGCGUGGUGUUGGGAGCGUAGCCGUAGUAGGUCAGCGCAGGGGUGACACGGAAUGGGAGCCGGCCGCGGAGGUGGUUUUCCGUGGUCAAGCACGCAGCCAGUCAUGUAGGCAAAUCCGCAUGGCGCGCAUGGCGAGGUGUGAUGAUGGGAGCCGUUAUGGUUCGAUAUCCGGUUGUCCAGGCCGUCGAGAAAAGCCUCGGCGUGAGGGCCAUGGCCGCCCGUACCCCAAACCGACACUGGUGGUCAGGUAGAGAAUACCAAGGCGAUCGAGCGAAUCCUGGUCAAGGAACUCGGCAAAUCACUCCCGUGCCUUCGGUAUAAGGGAGACCCGCUGGGGUGAACCGGCUAGCCCGGGGAGCUUUGGUGGGUGGCACAGACCAGGGGGUAGCGACUGUUUACCAAAAACACAGGUGCAUGCGAAGGCGAAAGCCGCUGUAUAUGCACUGACGCCUGCCCGGUGCCGGAAGGUUAAGAGGAUCCGUCAGUCCUUCGGGAUGAAGCGGUGAAUUCAAGCCCCGGUAAACGGCGGUGGUAACUAUAACCAUCCUAAGGUAGCGAAAUUCCUUGUCGGGUAAGUUCCGACCUGCACGAAUGGCGUAACGACUUCCCCACUGUCUCGACCAGGAGCUCGGCGAAAUUGCAGUACGAGUAAAGAUGCUCGUUAAGCGCAGAAGGACGAAAAGACCCCGGGACCUUUACUAUACCUUGGUAUUGGCGUUAGGCGCGGAUUGUGUAGCAUAGGCGGGAGGCUUCGAAGCGGGUGCGCCAGCAUUCGUGGAGCCGCAAGGUGAAAUACCGCUCUGUUCUCGUUUGACGUCUAACCUCGACAAGUCAUCCUUGUCAGGGACAGUGCCUGGCGGGUAGUUCAACUGGGGCGGUUGCCUCCCAAAGAGUAACGGAGGCGCUCAAAGGUCCGCUCAGCCCGGUUGGCAAUCGGGUGUCGAGUGUAAUCGCACAAGCGGGCUUGACUGCGAGGACGACGGUCCGAGCAGGGACGAAAGUCGGAGAUAGUGAUCCGGUGCCGGCGCACGGGCGCGGCAUCGCUCAACGGAUAAAAGGUACCCCGGGGAUAACAGGCUGAUCAUUCCCAAGAGUCCAUAUCGACGGGAUGGUUUGGCACCUCGAUGUCGGCUCGUCGCAUCCUGGGGCUGGAGCAGGUCCCAAGGGUUCGGCUGUUCGCCGAUUAAAGCGGCACGCGAGCUGGGUUCAGAACGUCGUGAGACAGUUUGGUCUCUAUCCUCUGCGCUCGUCGGAAUGUUGAGGAGGCCUGCCCAUAGUACGAGAGGACCUGGGUGGACGAACCUCUGGUAUGCCGGUUGUCACGCCAGUGGCACGGCCGGUUGGCUACGUUCGGGAGGGAUAACCGCUGAAAGCAUCUAAGCGGGAAGCCUGCUCCAAGAUUAGGAUUCCGUACGGUCUUGAACCGUUGUAGCCCGCAUGUUGAACACGUGUUUGAUAGGCCGGAGGUGGAAGUCCCGUGAGGGGUGGAGCCGACCGGUACUAACGGGCGACGGCGACAUAAC
rnacentral:rRNA from 1 species